UCUGGUUGAACGAGACUAGAGUUCGAUAUCAAUAGUGCCUGGAUCCAUACGAUUCUUAGAAUUGUUUCAAUUACUAAUACAUAGUUUGAAAUCUAUCUUUAAAUAUUACACAACAUGAUUCAUAUUGGGUUUCUUGAAAUUCUUGUCGGAAAAGUCUGAAAAUUCAUGAUUAAAAAAGCGUAAUUCAAAUACAGACUAGAAACUAAUUGCCAUGCAAGAUAAGUUGAUUUUAAAAUAAACGAUAAUCGAUAAAAUCAACUCUCGUCAGUACUUCAGUAAUUUGAUUUUAAUAAGCGAACGAACUCAACCAGACAAGGAAAUCAUUUAAUUAUACAUGUACAUAGAUUAUACAUGUACAUAGAUUCAUAUACUACAAGGAAGCGAGUGCAUGAUAUGAAAAAGCGAGCCCCACCUAGGAUCGAUGUAUUAUUGUAUACUUCUCGUACUGUCAAUAUCCAAACAUAAAAUCAAUAACUCAACUUCUAGUAAAAUCAACACAAGUUGCCCCCUGACCCAUUACAUGAAUUGAAAGUUGACAGGAUUUUAAACAUUAUAAUUAAAUUCAACAUUUUGAAAUCUUUAAAUCUCGUCAUUGAAUUAAAUGCUGUAAGUAAACUGUUGUGUACGAACGGCGGGUCUGCUGAAUUGAGCUCUUGUAAUCCUUCCCUGCCGUCACUAACUGAAAUUCCUUGUCAUUUCUAAUGGAUCGGCGCUAGCAAAUGAAAUCAUACUGCGUCCGUAAUUGAGCCUAAUGCAUAUCUUGUAACUUAACACUGGGCUUGGAUCUCAGCAAAACCAAUACUUGUAAACAUAAACCUACAAUGCUUCCCGUCAUAAGAGUUGUUUUAAUUCAUCGUUUUAUUUUCAGGAUCUGGCCAGUAGAUUUUUUCCGGACUGUGCAAUAAAAGAAAUAUUACACCGCUACAGUAUUAGAAAACAGAGAUUUAUUUUGCUUCUUAUUUGUUUAUUUUGCACAUAUUCUGUUGUAUUUUGUUAUACUUAAUUUUCACAAAAAGUGCUAGUUACUGCUCAUAUUGCAAAUAAUUGAAUUUGAUUGUUUCAACGCAUCGAAUUCUCCUUUAAUAUACUUGUAUAUUAAAUAAAUUUGUAUUGUAUUGCUUUGAGAAUGCCAAACACUUUUUAUUUAAAAAGGCAUUUGAAAUAAAAGUUGAUAACGUC
rnacentral:misc_RNA from 1 species